UACGGAAGGUCCGGGCGUUAUCCGGAUUUAUUGGGUUUAAAGGGAACGUAGGCCGGAGAUUAAGCGUGUUGUGAAAUGUAGACGCUCAACGUCUGCACUGCAGCGCGAACUGGUUUUCUUGAGUACGCACAAAGUGGGCGGAAUUCGUGGUGUAGCGGUGAAAUGCUUAGAUAUCACGAAGAACUCCGAUUGCGAAGGCAGCUCACUGGAGCGCAACUGACGCUGAAGCUCGAAAGUGCGGGUAUCGAACAGG
rnacentral:rRNA from 1 species